UAAUACAGAGGUGGCAAACGUUGUCCGGAUUUAUUGGGUGUAAAGGGCAUGUAGGUGGCUUUGUAAGUCAAAGGUGAAAUGGCCCGGCUCAACCAGGUCAUUGCCUUUGAAACUGCAGAGCUUGAGUUCGGAAGAGGAAAGUGGAAUUCCCAGUGUAGCGGUGAAAUGCGUAGAUAUUGGGAGGAACACCGGUGGCGAAGGCGGCUUUCUGGUCCGAAACUGACACUGAGAUGCGAAAGCCAGGGGAGCAAACGGG
rnacentral:rRNA from 1 species